GGCUGUGAAGGCGAUCUGGCUGGGACAUCUACCACCCCAUUGAUGGCAUGGGUUGAUAGGGUUGAUCUGGCUGGCUAGGCAGGUGUCUCCUCCCUCACCACUCCAAGGGAGUCCCUCCCAAAGCUGCGCUCAGGGUCAAAGAGGACUAUUUGCCCACUUGAGGAGGACUCUUCUUCCUUCAAGGGUAUGUGAGUAGCUAUGCUCCCUGGCUAGAACCUCCAAACAACCUCUCAGAAGGGGGCCAAUUAAGCACCUUGUUUUAUUCUUUUGUUGAUGGGACAGUUCCAACAUGAUGUCAUCA
rnacentral:snRNA from 1 species